CCCUUAGAUGUCCUGGGCCGCACGCGCGUUACACUGAUGCAUUCAACGAGCUUAUAACCUUGGCCGAGAGGCCUGGGCAAUCUUGUUAACGUGCAUCGUGAUAGGGAUAGAUUAUUGAAAUUAUUAAUCUUGAACGAGGAAUUCCUAGUAAACGCAGAUCAUCAAUCUGCAUUGAUUACGUCCCUGCCCUUUUUACACACCGCCCGUCGCACCUACCGAUUGGAUGGUCCGGUGAAGCCUCGGGAUUGUGGUUCUUGCCGCUUUAUUGUGGCGUGACCGCGAGAACUUGUCUAAACCUUAUCAUCUAGAGGAAGGUGAAGUCGUAACA
rnacentral:rRNA from 1 species